rnacentral:rRNA from 1 species
CCGAUCCCAUCCCGAACUCGGAAGUGAAACCGCUUAGCGCCGAUGAUAGUGUGGCAGUUUGCCAUGCGAAAGUAGGGAAUUGCCAAGC